AAAUUGAAGAGUUUGAUCAUGGCUCAGAUUGAACGCUGGCGGCAGGCCUAACACAUGCAAGUCGAACGGUAGCACAGAGAGCUUGCUCUCGGGUGACGAGUGGCGGACGGGUGAGUAAUGUCUGGGAAACUGCCUGAUGGAGGGGGAUAACUACUGGAAACGGUGGCUAAUACCGCAUAACGUCGCAAGACCAAAGAGGGGGACCUUCGGGCCU
rnacentral:rRNA from 4 species